rnacentral:rRNA from 1 species
UACGGAAGGCAGCAGUGGGGAAUAUUGCACAAUGGGCGAAAGCCUGAUGCAGCUAUGCCGCGUGUAUGAAGAAGGCCUUCGGGUUGUAAAGUACUUUCAGUCGUGAGGAAGGUGUUAAGGUUAAUAACCUUAGCAAUUGACGUUAGCGACAGAAGAAGCACCGGCUAACUCCGUGCCAGCAGCCGCGGUAAUACGGAGGGUGCGAGCGUUAAUCGGAAUUACUGGGCGUAAAGGGCACGCAGGCGGUUAAUUAAGUUGGAUGUGAAAUCCCCGGGCUUAACCUGGGAAUGGCAUUCAAGCUGGUUAGCUAGAGUCUUGUAGAGGGGGUAGAAUUCCAUGUGUAGCGGUGAAAUGCGUAGAGAUGUGGAGGAAUACCGGUGGCGAAGGCGGCCCCUGGACAAAGGACUGACGCUCAUGUGCGAAAGCGUGGGGAGCAAAC